AGAGUUUGAUCCUGGCUCAGAACGAACGCUGGCGGCGUGCCUAACACAUGCAAGUCGAACGGAGGCAGGGGGCUUGCUCCUUGCUUUAGUGGCGCACGGGUGAGUAACGCGUGGAUAAUCUACCUGUUGAUCUGGGAUAACAUUCCGAAAGGGGUGCUAAUACCGGAUAAGCCCACGGGGUCUUCGGACCCUGCGGGAAAAGGGGGGGACCUUCGGGCCUUCCGUCAACAGAUGAGUCCGCGUACCAUUAGCUAGUUGGUGGGGUAAAGGCCUACCAAGGCGACGAUGGUUAGCUGGUCUGAGAGGAUGAUCAGCCACACUGGAACUGAGACACGGUCCAGACUCCUACGGGAGGCAGCAGUGGGGAAUUUUGCGCAAUGGGGAAACCCUGACGCAGCAACGCCGCGUGAGUGAUGAAGGCCUUCGGGUCGUAAAGCUCUGUCAGAGGGAAAGAAGUGUACGGCGGAUAAUACCCGUGUACUGACGGUACCCUCAAAGGAAGC
rnacentral:rRNA from 1 species